GAUAACUCAGCUGGCUUGAGCAUGGUACUGAUAAUGCCAAGGUUGCAGGUUCAGCUGCAUAUUCCUGCAUUGCA